rnacentral:lncRNA from 1 species
CAAUACCCAAUCAGUUAUAUCACUAAUAGAGAAAUUGCAAGGAGUUAUCAUAUAAAUACCUUGCCCAGCAACAGCUUGCUUCUUUCUCUGUCUGUUUGGAUCCAGGGAGGCAAUAUACUGAGGACAGUUCCUCUUUCAGUGCCCCCGCUUCUUGCAAAAGAAGCAUUCAGCUUGACUCUUAUCGGGUUUGAUCUUUCUAGUCUGGCCCUGC